CCGGACAGCAAGGUUCAUAUACGGGCAGGAUAAGCAACAGUCUAAGUACAGGUUAGAAAACAGAUCCAAAGCGCAUUACACAGAAGCAAAUCUACAAGAUAUAGGACAAAGCCAAGGGUCAAAUUGUCAAAGGGUUACUGCAAGCAUCAUAACCACUACAGCCUGCUGUAGUGAUUGUGGUUGCCUGGUAAAGGGGCAAACCUUUUUGAAAUGGUUACCUGGGUCUUCAUCGGGUGGUGACGGUUCUCUGUGGCUGGUGAAAUGUGUCUGGCUUCUGCAGAGAUGCAGGAUUGAGUCACACACCCCUGUUGUGACCAGGACCCCAUCACUUGCCC